CCCGCCGCGGUAACGACGGGUAACGGGGAAUCAGGGUUCGAUUCCGGAGAGGGAGCCCGAGAAACGGCUACCACUUCCAAGGAAGGCAGCAGGCGCGCAACUUACCCUAAUCUCGAUUCGAGGAGGUAGUGACAAGAAAUACCGAUGCGGGACCCUACGGGUGCCGCGUUCGGAAUGAGUACGAUUCGAACCACCUAACGAGGAACGAUCGGAGGGCAAGUCUGGUGCCAGCAGCCGCGGUAAUUCCAGCUCCAAUAGCGUACGUUAAAGUUGCUGCAGUUAAAAAGCUCGUAGUUGAACGUUCGGGUUCCGCGGGACGGGGCCGCCCCGCGAGGGACGGCGCCGCCCCGGGGCUCGUGAUAUCUCAUCUCGCCGCCCGUCGCGAGGCGGACGGAGGGAUGGAUGAGGUUACCUGGAAAAAAUCGGGG
rnacentral:rRNA from 1 species